GAUGAACGCUGGCGGCGUGCCUAAUACAUGCAAGUCGAGCGAACAGAUGAGGAGCUUGCUCCUCUGACGUUAGCGGCGGACGGGUGAGUAACACGUGGAUAACCUACCUAUAAGACUGGGAUAACUUCGGGAAACCGGAGCUAAUACCGGAUAAUAUAUUGAACCGCAUGGUUCAAUAGUGAAAGACGGUUUUGCUGUCACUUAUAGAUGGAUCCGCGCCGCAUUAGCUAGUUGGUAAGGUAACGGCUUACCAAGGCAACGAUGCGUAGCCGACCUGAGAGGGUGAUCGGCCACACUGGAACUGAGACACGGUCCAGACUCCUACGGGAGGCAGCAGUAGGGAAUCUUCCGCAAAGGGCGAAAGCCUGACGGAGCAACGCCGCGUGAGUGAUGAAGGUCUUCGGAUCGUAAAACUCUGUUAUUAGGGAAGAACAAAUGUGUAAGUAACUAUGCACGUCUUGACGGUACCGAAUCAGAAAGCCACGGCUAACUACGUG
rnacentral:rRNA from 1 species